rnacentral:rRNA from 1 species
UACGUAGGGGGCUAGCGUUGUCCGGAAUCAUUGGGCGUAAAGCGCGUGUAGGCGGUCCGGUAAGUCCGCUGUGAAAGUCGAGGGCUCAACCCUCGAAUGCCGGUGGAUACUGUCGGGCUAGAGUGCGGAAGAGGCGAGUGGAAUUCCUGGUGUAGCGGUGAAAUGCGCAGAUAUCAGGAGGAACACCUAUUGCGAAGGCAGCUCGCUGGGACGUUACUGACGCUGAGACACGAAAGCAUGGGGAGCGAACGGG